rnacentral:rRNA from 1 species
AAUAGAUACCCCGGUAGUCCACGCCCUAAACGAUGUGUGCUAGAUGUCGGGGGACUUGUCUCUCGGUGUCGGAGUUAACGUUUUAAGCACACCGCCUGGGGAGUACGGCCGCAAGGUUAAAACUCAAAGGAAUUGACGGGGACCCGCACAAGCGGUGGAUGAUGUGGAUUAAUUCGAUGCAACGCGAAAAACCUUACCUACCCUUGACAUGCCACUAACGAAGCAGAGAUGCAUCAGGUGCCCGAAAGGGAAAGUGGACACAGGUGCUGCAUGGCUGUCGUCAGCUCGUGUCGUGAGAUGUUGGGUUAAGUCCCGCAACGAGCGCAACCCUUAUCUUUAGUUGCUACGCAAGGGCACUCUAGAGAGACUGCCGGUGACAAACCGGAGGAAGGUGGGGAUGACGUCAAGUCCUCAUGGCCCUUAUGGGUAGGGCUUCACACGUCAUACAAUGGUGCGUACAGAGGGUUGCCAACCCGCGAGGGGGAGCUAAUCCCAGAAAACGCAUCGUAGUCCGGAUCGUAGUCUGCAACUCGACUACGUG